UGGAAACUGGCGCACUAGCAACUUGGCGUGGAAACAAGAAAUGUGUAUUCUUUUUCCAUCAAGAAGAGGAAAGGCUGGGAGAACUUCAAGGCCCUAGAACUAACUUCAGGACCACGGAGAGCUCCCUGAAAAGUUAAAGGUUGAGCCAGGAGCAGGAGAAAAAAUGAAGUCAGUAGCUACACCAUAUCCUCAACUUCUACAGAAGACAAAGUAUAAAAGGCGGGGACUGUGCUGCAGA
rnacentral:lncRNA from 1 species